AGUACAGUACUCCAGCAGGGCUUAUAUAGACAAACCAAACCCAGCCAAAUCAAACCUCCCCAAAUCCAACAUUUCCUGCAUGUCCAAAAUGGGAGACAGGCGCCUGAGUAACCCGGGGCAAGACGCCGAAAGAAGCCUGUUUGUGUGCUGCGGCCGUGCUGUGACUUUGGAUCUUGUCUUUCAGCCGGCGCCUCGGUUCCUGCCCAGCUGGAUUUGGGGGGCAGCAUUGCCUGGCGCAGGGAGAUCAAAUGAGACUGCAAAGAAGCAUAAAAUGAAUAGACAAUCCAACCAACCAAAGACCGGGGGCAGCAGCAGGCCAGCAAGACGGCAUCUUCUCCUUCCCAGCCUAGAAGCCCUGUGAAAUCGAGGAUCUUCCCCCUAAAACACAUACACACAAGAUAUGUGCAAUCAAGCUGCCACCGCUUGGUAAAAAGCCAUGGUGCCUAACCAAAAAGGAUCAGGAACAGAUCCUUGAAUCAGCUGUCACUUCUAUAGAAUGGGAUUUUUUUUUCCUUCCUCCUUAACCUGCGCUGGAAAUUGCCGUUGGC
rnacentral:lncRNA from 1 species